rnacentral:rRNA from 1 species
CACGUAGGGGGCAAGCGUUGUCCGGAUUUACUGGGCGUAAAGAGCUCGUAGGCGGUUCGGCAAGUCGGGUGUGACAACUCCAGGCUCAACCUGGAGAGGUCACUCGAUACUGCUGUGACUAGAGUCCGGUAGGGGAGCAUGGAAUUCCCGGUGUAGCGGUGAAAUGCGCAGAUAUCGGGAGGAACACCAGUGGCGAAGGCGGCUUUCUGGUCUGCUCUUGACGCUGAGGCGCGAAAGCUAGGGUAGCAAACGGG